rfam:Trichinella patagoniensis scaffold42s, whole genome shotgun sequence.
UUUAGUUAUGGUGAUAUGACUCCAAAAACUUACCUCGGCAUGAUUGUUGGCAGUCUGUGCGCGUUAACAGGUGUGCUGACAAUUGCUCUUCCAGUUCCGGUCAUUGUCAGCAAC